rnacentral:rRNA from 1 species
GAAAGGCGCUUUUGCGUCACUGAUGGAUGGACCCGCGGUGCAUUAGCUAGUUGGUGAGGUAACGGCUCACCAAGGCCACGAUGCAUAGCCGACCUGAGAGGGUGAUCGGCCACACUGGGACUGAGACACGGCCCAGACUCCUACGGGAGGCAGCAGUAGGGAAUCUUCGGCAAUGGACGAAAGUCUGACCGAGCAACGCCGCGUGAGUGAAGAAGGUUUUCGGAUCGUAAAACUCUGUUGUUAGAGAAGAACAAGGAUGAGAGUAGAACGUUCAUCCCUUGACGGUAUCUAACCAGAAAGCCACGGCUAACUACGUGCCAGCAGCCGCGGUAAUACGUAGGUGGCAAGCGUUGUCCGGAUUUAUUGGGCGUAAAGCGAGCGCAGGCGGUUUCUUAAGUCUGAUGUGAAAGCCCCCGGCUCAACCGGGGAGGGUCAUUGGAAACUGGGAGACUUGAGUGCAGAAGAGGAGAGUGGAAUUCCAUGUGUAGCGGUGAAAUGCGUAGAUAUAUGGAGGAACACCAGUGGCGAAGGCGGCUCUCUGGUCUGUAACUGACGCUGAGGCUCGAAAGCGUGGGGAGCGAACAGGAUUAGAUACCCUGGUAGUCCACGCCGUAAACGAUGAGUGCUAAGUGUUGGAGGGUUUCCGCCCUUCAGUGCUGC